rnacentral:tRNA from 11 species
GGCGCAGUGGCAGAGUGGUCUAAUGCGAUAGACUAGAAAUCUAUUCUCUUCGGAGGCGUCUGUUCAAAUCAGGCCUGCGUCG